AAGUGCAAGAGGUGGAUGCCUUGGCAUUCUGAUGAGAUGAUGGAAGUGAUAAUCUGCGUUAAGCUUCGGUUAGCUGGUAUAUGAGCUAUGACCCGGAGAUUUCCGAAUGGGGGAACCCACCUGACACAAGUUGGGUACUCAAUCGAUAUAGAGUGUAGAGCGAACGAGGGGAACUGAAACAUCUAAGUACCCUUAGGAAGAGAAAGCAAUUGAGAUUCCCGUAGUAGUGGCGAGCGAAGUGGG
rnacentral:rRNA from 1 species